ensembl:lncRNA
AUGCAUAUGGGACACAAAAGUGGAAACACUUCAGGAGUGUCAAAGUCGUCAUCGGAUUGGUUGAAUACUACAGAAUUUCCGGGAGACGUGUGUGUCACGUUCUUUAACGUUCUGCCUGGAAACAAAGAUGCUGUGCCGCCAAAUCCCCUCACGAAAGAAGAAAGCCAUAGUGUUUACAACUGUGACGACAAGCACUUAUCAGGAUCAGCUAAACACUGGAGCUUCAAAGGAGCUAAUACACCCCAAAGGCUCUUUUAAGAGCUACAGCACUGAGCAUAUUUGCUUUUUUUCCACAAAAUUUAAUUGGAUUGAUUCGUUUGGAAGUAUUUGAAAAUACAGGUCCUUCUCAAAACAACGAGAAGAGGUGACCGGACCCUGAGGAAGAUUGUGGAGAAGGACCGAUUCCAGACCUUGGGGGACCUGCGGAAGCAGUGGACUGAGUCUGGAG